UACGGAGGGGGCUAGCGUUGUUCGGAAUUACUGGGCGUAAAGCGCGCGUAGGCGGUUCUGCAAGUCGGGGGUGAAAUCCCGAGGCUCAACCUCGGAACUGCCUUCGAUACUGCGGGUCUCGAGUCCGGGAGAGGUGAGUGGAAUUCCUAGUGUAGAGGUGAAAUUCGUAGAUAUUAGGAAGAACACCAGUGGCGAAGGCGGCUCACUGGCCCGGAACUGACGCUGAGGCGCGAAAGCGUGGGGAGCAAACAGG
rnacentral:rRNA from 1 species